rnacentral:rRNA from 1 species
GACGAACCGUGCGAACGUUAUUCGGAAUCACUGGGCAUAAAGGGCGCGUAGGCGGCUUUCUAAGUCAGGGGUGAAAUCCGGCAGCUCAACUGUCGCAGUGCCUUUGAUACUGGAGAGCUCGAGGGAGGUAGGGGUCUGUGGAACUUCCGGUGGAGCGGUGAAAUGCGUUGAUAUCAUUAGGAACUCCGGUGGCGAAGGCGGCUCGCUGGAUCUCUUCUGACGCUGAGGCGCGAAAGCCAGGGGAGCAAACGGG